rnacentral:lncRNA from 1 species
GGACACCAUUGGGAUGGAUGGACGUCAUUGGGAUGGACGGACAGACGGACAGCAUUGGGAUGGAUGGACGGACAGCACUGCAAUGGAUGGACGGACAGACGGACAGCAUUGGGAUGGACAGACAGCACUGUGAUGGACGGACAGACGGACACCAUUGGGAUGGAUGGACAGACGGACACCGUUGGGAUGGAUGGACGUCAUUGGGGUGGACAGACAGACGGACAUCAUUGGGAUGGAUGGACAGAUGGACAGCACUGCAAUGGACGGACAG